UCCGCAAGGACAACCGGCGAACGGGUGCGUAACACGUGAACAACCUGCCCUCGUGUGGGGGAUAGCCGGGCUAACGCCCGGGUAAUACCGCAUACGUUCUUUCUGGGGAGUCCUGGGAAGAGGAAAGCUCCGGCGCACGGGGAGGGGUUCGCGGCCUAUCAGCUAGUUGGCGGGGUAAUGGCCCACCAAGGCGACGACGGGUAGCUGGUCUGAGAGGAUGGCCAGCCACAUUGGGACUGAGAGACGGCCCAGACUCCUACGGGAGGCAGCAGUGGGGAAUCUUGCGCAAUGGUCGAAAGACUGACGCAGCGACGCCGCGUGUGGGAGGACGCCUUUCGGGGUGUAAACCACUGUUGCCCGGGACGAACUGGCUGAUUCGUCAGCCCUGACGGUACCGGGUGAGGAAGCACCGGCUAACUCCGUGCCAGCAGCCGCGGUAAUACGGAGGGUGCGAGCGUUGUCCGGAAUCAUUGGGCGUAAAGGGCGCGUAGGUGGCCCGGUCAGUUCGUGGAGAAAGCGCGGGGCUCAACCCUGCGUCGGCCAUGAAUACUGCCGCGGCUGGAGCACUGUAGAGGCAGGCGGAAUUCCGGGUGUAGCGGUGGAAUGCGUAGAGAUCCGGAAGAACACCGGUGGCGAAGGCGGCCUGCUGGGCAGUUGCUGACACUGAGGCGCGACAGCGUGGGGAGCAAACAGGAUUAGAUACCCUGGUAGUCCACGCCGUAAACGAUGGGCACUAGGCGCUUGGGGGAGCGACCCCCCGAGGGCCGGCGCUAACGCAUUAAGUGCCCCGCCUGGGGAGUACGGCCGCAAGGCUGAAACUC
rnacentral:rRNA from 1 species